GACGAACGCUGGCGGCGUGCUCAACACAUGCAAGUCGAACGGAAAGGCCCUGCUUUUGUGGGGUGCUCGAGUGGCGAACGGGUGAGUAACACGUGAGUAACCUGCCCUUGACUUUGGGAUAACUUCAGGAAACUGGGGCUAAUACCGGAUAGGAGCUCCUGCUGCAUGGUGGGGGUUGGAAAGUUUCGGCGGUUGGGGAUGGACUCGCGGCUUAUCAGCUUGUUGGUGGGGUAGUGGCUUACCAAGGCUUUGACGGGUAGCCGGCCUGAGAGGGUGACCGGCCACAUUGGGACUGAGAUACGGCCCAGACUCCUACGGGAGACAGCAGUGGGGAAUAUUGCACAAUGGGCGGAAGCCUGAUGCAGCAACGCCGCGUGCGGGAUGACGGCCUUCGGGUUGUAAACCGCUUUCGCCUGUGACGAAGCGUGAGUGACGGUAAUGGGUAAAGAAGCACCGGCUAACUACGUG
rnacentral:rRNA from 1 species